AUCGAACGCUGGCGGUAUGGCUAAAACAUGCAAGUCGAACGCGAAAGUGGAGCUUGCUCCGCGAGUAGAGUGGCGAAAGGGCGAGUAAUGCAUUUCUAACGUGCCUCAAGGUCAGGGACGGCUCUUCGAAAGGAGAAUUAAUACCUGAUGAUCUCAUUGAGUUGUAUGGCUUAAUGAGCAAAGGCUUGCUGCCUUGAGAUCGGGGAAUGUGCUAUCAGGUUGUUGGUGAGGUAAAGGCUCACCAAGCCUAGGACGGCUAGCGGGUGUGAGAGCACGACCCGCCGCAUCGGGACUGAGACACUGCCCGG
rnacentral:rRNA from 1 species